rnacentral:tRNA from 1 species
UGGGAAUUAGCCAAGCGGUAAGGCAGAAGAUUUUGAUUCUUCCAUGCCCUGGUUCGAAUCCAGGAUUCCCAACCA